ensembl:lncRNA
GGGGGAGGAGUGGUCCAGCCUCAGGUCAGUCGUGGCCGCUCCUUCUGCCACCAUGGUCCUUGUAGAUGAGGUAACUGAUGAAAAUGAUACUUAUACAGAAAUUAUCACUCCAGUGACGAACAAUCAGGAUGAAGAAGAAGAUUGCAUAGGAUGCUGCUUCCGGAUCCAAAGGAACAAUCGACAGACGUCACAAAGAUCCACCUCUGGCUGCAUCAGAAAGUUAUGCUCCUGGCGCCACCAGCGAGUGCACCCCGCUAAUGGGUCGGGGACAGAAGAAACCCCGGGCUCCCAUGAAAGGCUGCCCAGCACCGCAGGAGGAAUAGAGGCUCCAAGUGGCUGCACAAUGCCGGCCGAUGACGCAACUAAUAAUAAUGGCAUGGCUUUGGAGCGCCCCACUCCAGUGACAAACAAUCGGGGUGAAGAAGAAGAAGAUUGCAUAGGAUGCUGCUUCCGGAUCCAAAGGAACAAUCGACAGACGUCACAAAGAUCCACCUCUGGCUGCAUCAGAAAGUUAUGCUCCUGGCGCCACCAGCGAGUGCACCCCGCUAAUGGGUCGGGGACAGAAGAAACCCCGGGCUCCCAUGAAAGGCUGCCCAGCACCGCAGGAGGAAUAGAGGCUCCAAGUGGCUGCACAGUAAGUGCCUUGUCUUAUCUGAGAUAAAAGCAUAGCUUCAUUUUCUCCUUGUUUUCAAUCAAAUUCAAAUGUGAAAAUCUAUACAGUUGAAAGCAUGGAGACAUACUUUUUUCCUGGGUUGGAUGACUGAAUGCCUUUCCCAGUGAUUGACUGUAAAAGCUAUUUUCAGUACAACAGCAUCUGUUGCACACUGCAUGUGUGGUUGGGAGCAUUUUUUCUGCAGAGUAUUACCCUCCUUGAAAGAGAAUUUUUUAGUGUUCGGUCAAAAUAGACUUAGGUCUUCCAGGAAAUUUUGAAGCAUUUCUCACAAAUGACANUCCAGGGAUCAAACCUGCAGCCUCAUGCUUUCUAGUCAGUUUUGGUUCCGCCGUGCCACAACGGG